rnacentral:rRNA from 1 species
GACGAACGCUGGCGGCGUGCUUAACACAUGCAAGUCGAACGGAAAGGCCCUGCUUUUGUGGGGUGCUCGAGUGGCGAACGGGUGAGUAACACGUGAGUAACCUGCCCUUGACUUUGGGAUAACUUCAGGAAACUGGGGCUAAUACCGGAUAGGAGCUCCUGCUGCAUGGUGGGGGUUGGAAAGUUUCGGCGGUUGGGGAUGGACUCGCGGCUUAUCAGCUUGUUGGUGGGGUAGUGGCUUACCAAGGCUUUGACGGGUAGCCGGCCUGAGAGGGUGACCGGCCACAUUGGGACUGAGAUACGGCCCAGACUCCUACGGGAGGCAGCAGUGGGGAAUAUUGCACAAUGGGCGGAAGCCUGAUGCAGCAACGCCGCGUGCGGGAUGACGGCCUUCGGGUUGUAAACCGCUUUCGCCUGUGACGAAGCGUGAGUGACGGUAAUGGGUAAAGAAGCACCGGCUAACUACGUGCCAGCAGCCGCGGUGAUACGUAGGGUGCGAGCGUUGUCCGGAUUUAUUGGGCGUAAAGGGCUCGUAGGUGGUUGAUCGCGUCGGAAGUGUAAUCUUGGGGCUUAACCCUGAGCGUGCUUUCGAUACGGGUUGACUUGAGGAAGGUAGGGGAGAAUGGAAUUCCUGGUGGAGCGGUGGAAUGCGCAGAUAUCAGGAGGAACACCAGUGGCGAAGGCGGUUCCCUGGGCCUUUCCUGACGCUGAGGAGCGAAAGCGUGGGGAGCGAACAGGCUUAGAUACCCUGGUAGUCCACGCUGUAAACGGUGGGUACUAGGUGUGGGGUCCAUUCCACGGGUUCCGUGCCGUAGCUAACGCUUUAAGUACCCCGCCUGGGGAGUACGGCCGCAAGGCUAAAACUCAAAGGAAUUGACGGGGCCCCGCACAAGCGGCGGAGCAUGCGGAUUAAUUCGAUGCAACGCGUAGAACCUUACCUGGGUUUGACAUGGAUCGGGAGUGCUCAGAGAUGGGUGUGCCUCUUUUGGGGUCGGUUCACAGGUGGUGCAUGGCUGUCGUCAGCUCGUGUCGUGAGAUGUUGGGUUAAGUCCCGCAACGAGCGCAACCCUUGUUCACUGUUGCCAGCACGUUAUGGUGGGGACUCAGUGGAGACCGCCGGGGUCAACUCGGAGGAAGGUGGGGAUGACGUCAAGUCAUCAUGCCCCUUAUGUCCAGGGCUUCACGCAUGCUACAAUGGCUGGUACAGAGAGUGGCGAGCCUGUGAGGGUGAGCGAAUCCCGGAAAGCCGGUCUCAGUUCGGAUUGGGGUCUGCAACUCGACCUCAUGAAGUCGGAGUCGCUAGUAAUCGCAGAUCAGCAACGCUGCGGUGAAUACGUUCCCGGGGCU